ensembl:snoRNA
CCUGCCCCUAGAGGCAUUGCAGGUGUGACUUCUGUGUCACAUGCACAUCAGUAAGUGGGAGAGGGGAGAGAGGCUACGUCUGUGCUGAAUGUUCUGACCCAUGAAUUUCUGAAUAAUUAGUACUAACAUU